ncrna:Methanomicrobium mobile BP L4-Archaeoglobi ribosomal protein leader
CUGAUUAAUGCGCCCAAGGGUGGACAGAUGCGGAUGUGCAUCGGGCCCUUUCUUAAAGGCACAAGUGUCUUAAAAGAGCGCAAAUUACUGGUCAG